UGAGAGCUUGCUCUUGAUGACGAGUGGCGCACGGGUGCGUAACGCGUAUGCAAUCUACCUAUAACUGAGGGAUAGCCCAGAGAAAUUUGGAUUAAUACCUCAUAAUAAUAUUUUUUGGCAUCAUUAAAUAUUUAAAACUCCGGUGGUUAUAGAUGAGCAUGCGUUCUAUUAGUUUGUUGGUGAGGUAAAAGCUCACCAAGACUACGAUAGAUAGGGGGCCUGAAAGGGUGAUCCCCCACACUGGUACUGAGACACGGACCAGACUCC
rnacentral:rRNA from 2 species